GCGGGUAUAGUUUAGUGGUAAAAGUGUGAUUCGUUCUUUAAUCCUUUAUAUAGUUAAAGGGUCUUUCGGUUUGAUUAAUAUUCAUUCCGAACAAAAACUUUAGUUCUUAAAAGGAUUGAAUCCUUUCCCUCUCAAUGAAAAAUUCGAGGAAUAAUAUAAAUUCUCGUGAUUUUUAUCCACGAAUCAAUUUUAAAUUGAAAAAUUGGAUUAUAAGAUUACGAAACAUAAUUUUUUUAUUGGAUCAAUACUUCCAAUUGAAUGAGUAUAAGUAAAGGACCCAUGGAUAAAGAUAAAACGCGUAUUUCUAAUCGUAACUAAAUCUUCAAUUUUUCAUUUCUGUAGGGGAAAUUGAAGCAAAACAGCUAUUAAACAAUGUCUUUGGUUUAUUAAAGACAUCGAUAAAUUGUUUUAGCUCGGUGGAAACAAAAUGCUUUUCCUAAGGAUUCUUUCAAAUAGAAGUAGAGAACGAAGUAACUAGAAAGAUUGUUAGAAUAUAACACCCCUUUCUAUAGGGAUCGUCUAGAAAGCGGGUUGUUCUGAAUAGAUUCAGACAUAAAAGCUGACAUAGACGUUAUGGGUCAGAUUUUUUAUUUCGUUCAUAUCUGAAUCUGGGAAUUUAUCCACCUUCCAUAAAGGAGCUGAAUGAAACCAAAGUAUCACGUUCAGUUUUGAAUAGAGACGUU
rnacentral:ncRNA from 1 species